rnacentral:misc_RNA from 1 species
AAGUCGUAACAAGGUAACCGUAGGUGAACCUGCGGUUGGAUCAUUAGUAAAAAUUUAAUUAUUUUAACUAAAUAAUAAACCCUUGUGCAUUUGUUGAUUGUUAAGCCACUAGUGGUCUUCUUUUUUUUUGUUGGGUGACCAAUGAAAAAAUAAUAAUUCCUUAGUGGUAAUAGUUAAACCCAACAGUUUUUAAUUUUUUGUUAUGAUUUUUUAUUCUCACUUUCUUAAGCAAUUAAGGAAAGGAAAAUAUAAUUAAUUGACAACUUUUGACAAUGGAUCUCUUGGCUCUC